rfam:Oleispira antarctica strain RB-8, complete genome sequence.
GGGGGCGCUCUGGAUUCGACGUUGGUUACAAAGCUAAAGGUGCAUGUCGAGAGGGUAUGAUAAUCUCGUAAAUAAAUGUCAUACAAAAUUAUAGUCGCAAACGACGAAAACUACGCACUAGCAGCUUAGGCUGCUUACCUUUGAAGAUGGUUGCCUAUUACCAUCGGAUAAGGGCACGCAAAAUAGGAUCGACUGGCGGCUUCGCUCGUAGCUUAAGGUCUAAAACUAAUCGAGCUCGCCCCAAACUCCCUGCCUCUUGGGCCGUGACGGGUUAACUUAAUAAAGUGGCCAAGCAUGUGAAGAUCAGUUAGUGGCGGAUUGACGGACGUGGGUUCAAUUCCCACCGCCUCCACCA